rnacentral:rRNA from 1 species
UACGUAGGGUGCGAGCGUUAAUCGGAAUUACUGGGCGUAAAGCGUGCGCAGGCGGCUUUGCAAGACAGAUGUGAAAUCCCCGGGCUCAACCUGGGAACUGCAUUUGUGACUGCAAGGCUAGAGUACGGCAGAGGGGGAUGGAAUUCCGCGUGUAGCAGUGAAAUGCGUAGAUAUGCGGAGGAACGCCGAUGGCGAAGGCAAUCCCCUGGGCCUGUACUGACGCUCAUGCACGAAAGCGUGGGUAGCAAACAGG